CCUACGGGUGGCAGCAGUCGAGAAUCAUUCACAAUGGGGGAAACCCUGAUGGUGCGACGCCGCGUGGGGGAAUGAAGGUCUUCGGAUUGUAAACCCCUGUCAUGUGGGAGCAAAUUAAAAAGAUAGUACCACAAGAGGAAGAGACGGCUAACUCUGUGCCAGCAGCCGCGGUAAUACAGAGGUCUCAAGCGUUGUUCGGAAUCACUGGGCGUAAAGCGUGCGUAGGCUGUUUCGUAGGUCGUGUGUGAAAGGCGCGGGCUCAACCCGCGGACGGCACAUGAUACUGCGAGACUAGAGUAAGGGAGGGGGAACCGGAAUUCUCGGUGUAGCAGUGAAAUGCGUAGAUAUCGAGAGGAACACUCGUGGCGAAGGCGGGUUCCUGGACAUUAACUGACGCUGAGGCACGAAGGCCAGGGGAGCGAAAGGGAUUAGAUACCCUAGUAGUC
rnacentral:rRNA from 1 species